rnacentral:lncRNA from 1 species
UAUUACAGCGCUGACAGAAGUUUAGAAAUCAUUAAUAGUAUUUUUAACUUUUGAGUUCGUUAUCGUUCGUUAGAUUACUCAAGAUUCUUUCUUACUGCAAUGCUUGUGUAUCUUCAACCCGAUUCAACCUUUAAAUUUCAACAGGCCAAAACGAAACAAUAAACUACGAAUAAGCAAGCAACAACGUGGCCCAAUAGUUCUCUAUAUCUAUUUGAUAUUAUACAAUACAACUAAGGAAUUCUAACUUGCUAUUAUUCAGCAUCGGCAAUUGGUUAGAUUUGAUUGUUCACACGAAUGGAGGAAACGAAGUCUUACCUAGCACAUGGUAUCAUGAUGGAAUAUGUUCCUUACCAUCAAUUCGCAAGUUGGCUGAGGAUUGUCGAUUCUGAAGAUGUCACGGAAAUAGUAUAUGAAUGCUAAAUUCUUUCGAGUAACGAUUUAUUUAAAAAACCCACAAACAUAAAAGAGGAAUCUGGCAUUUCGUAUUCAGCAGGGUUUUUUUGAGUAGCUUGAAGAAAAAUAUGAGAUCUGAUAAGGAUAAAUAAAUAUACAAACUCAACGAAAAAUAGUCCAGCAGAUAACUAAAUCUUCUACUUCCAGUAUCGUUUCUGAAGAGAGAGUUAGCGAUGAAAUUGAUACAAAUGACGCUGGUGUCGAACGAGUACCAAAGCGUGUAACACCCACAAAAGUAAUCAGGAUAAAUCCUCGUUACCAACGACUAACAAUUCUGGGGAUUCAGAUUCCGGUUUGGAAGAAAGUUUCAAUUAUACCGUACAUAUUAGUAAUGAAAUCUUAAGACAAGUAUGAAAACUUUGCCUUUCGUCUUUCGCCUUUCGUGAAAAAAACAAGCAAGACUUUCAACAUUUGAGGAAGAACUGAUGAAAUCUGAAGUUCGAAACAAUCUUGUCCUACAAAAUGUUGUAAAUGAGCGAGGGGUUCACCACUCAGGUUUUGGGUGUACGAAAAUUUGCGUAAUUUGCGUAAUUGCUUAAAUUACAUGCGUUUAGAUGCGCUCAAGAUUUGCGUCCUUUUGGCAAGUUGUGCAAAGAUUUUUUUAGUAGUGAAACCCCUCGUAAAUGAUUCAACUGUUUCUAAUUAAUAUUCUUAAUUUCAGGUGGAAAUGCUACGUUCUUUCUUUGAAAAAAAAAAAAAACGUAGACGAUAUGAUCAGAAGAAUAUGGCGGAAAGUGAUGAAGAAGGAACUCAUGAAAACCUACACUUGGAGUGGAACAUGCCCUAAAACUAGUAUAUAAAAAUCCUAUCCCAAGUAUUGAACAAACUUCACAAAUGUUAAUAAGAAAACCGUCUAUAAGUCUGAACCAAAAUGCAGCAGCACAAAACAAGUAGUGCAGCUAAUUUUUCAUGCCCCUUUUUAAUUAAUUGAUUUUAAUUUAUUACUAGGCCUCAUGGCUCAGUUUUGGUUCAUGUUUUGAUUUUGAUGUCCAAUGGCAUUUCAAGUUGUUUACGAAAAGAAGAUGGUGACGAGAUUCAGCGUCUUUUUGAACAGAUGUCUUCUGGUAUCGAUUCCAAAAAACUUAAGGAGAUAAAUCAAUCUGAGACACUACAAAAAGUGAAAAAUUUAGUGAGAAUCAGCAUCGUAAAAAAAUCGAAAAAAACAGGGAAUCUAUGGAUUAAUUUGUAUCAAGAAAUGGUUGAUAUUCUGAAGUCUUUUAUUAAAUCUGAACGUACGGGAAACUGGAAAUUGCACUUAAAAACAACAGUUAAAAUGCUACCCUACUUUGAAAGUGCUGGACACAACAAUUUAUCCAUUUACGAAACAUUUAUGCCCGGUUUUCACGUUAUAAGAAGAACAGAUAGAUUUUGGGGUGGAUUGUCCACUGAUUUAGUCUUUGAGCAAAAACUUAUGCGGUCUAUGAAAGCUUCUGGUAAAUCAAUUACUAAUUUUAAUUUUUAAUUUCAAAUUAAUAACUUUGUCUUUGUUGUAAGUUUGAAUAACUCGUCGUAAAGGAAUGGGGAAGUCCAAAGACUUACAUGGGUUUUGUCUAGGUCAAUAUGUUCCAUGAUUAAUUCACAAGUGAUGGAUUUAUAAGACAUUCAACUUAGAACUAGUGAACAACACCAAGAAAUGAAAUCAUCUAGGAUAAAAAGAGAUAAC